rnacentral:rRNA from 1 species
GACGAACGCUGGCGGCGUGCCUAAUACAUGCAAGUAGAACGCAGUUGCGAACGGGUGAGUAACGCGUAGGUAACUGCCUGGUAGCGGGGGAAAACAAUUGGAAACGAUAGCUAAUACCGCAUACUACCAGAUGGACUUGCGUUGUAUUAGGUAGUUGGUGGGGUAACGGCCCACCAAGGCAACGAUCCAUAGCCGACCUGGAAGGGUGGUCGGCCACCCUGGGACUGGGACACGGGCCAGACUCCUACGGGAGGCAGCAGUAGGGAAUCUUCGGCAAUGGACGGAAGUCUGACCGAGCAACGCCGCGUGAGUGAAGAAGGUUUUCGGAUCGGAAAGCUCUGUUGUAAGAGAAGCGGUAUCUUACCAGAAAGGGACGGCUAACUACGUGCCAGCAGCCGCGGUAAUUC